UACGAAGGGAGCUAGCGUUGUUCGGAAUCACUGGGCGUAAAGCGCACGUAGGCGGAUGUGUCAGUCAGGGGUGAAAUCCCGGAGCUCAACUUCGGAACUGCCUUUGAUACAGCACGUCUUGAGUCCGAUAGAGGUGGGUGGAAUUCCUAGUGUAGAGGUGAAAUUCGUAGAUAUUAGGAAGAACACCGGUGGCGAAGGCGGCCCACCGGAUCGGUACUGACGCUGAGGUGCGAAAGCGUGGGGAGCAAACAGG
rnacentral:rRNA from 1 species